UUGUGGAGGAGGACGCCGAAGGUGGGGCUAAUGACUGGGGUGAAGUCGUAACAAGGUAGCCGUACCGGAAGGUGCGGCUGGAUCACCUCCUAACAGGGAGACAACAAAAUGUAAAUAUUAAUUUUGUCACCUUAGGUCGAUCGGUAUCUCAGAUUCUUAUUUUUUAAGAAUUUCAGUUUCUAAGUUUUUUCUAGGUCACACCCAUCACUUUUUCCUGGGCCAUUAGCUCAGGUGGUUAGAGCGCACCCCUGAUAAGGGUGAGGUCCCUGGUUCAAGUCCAGGAUGGCCCAUAUCUCUAUGUUGGGGGUAUAGCUCAGUUGGUAGAGCGCCUGCUUUGCAAGCAGGAUGUCAGCGGUUCGAGUCCGCUUACCUCCACUGAAUACCACCUCUUACAUAUUUAAAGAGGGAAAUUGUUUUGAGUCGUGUCCUAAUUUGCUCUGAGCGAACCUAGCUUCCUAUUUUAUUCAAUAAAUAAGAUGCUGACUCAUUGAAUUUUUUUUCAUUGUUUUCAGAGAACCUUGACAACUGCAUAGAUUAUUUUUGAAGACAAUAAGCAUCUUUAAUGAUGCAGAUUUAUUAUUUGUGCGAAUGCAUUAAAUAGCAAUUCUAUUAAGCUGAUGCUUCAAUUAUUGAAGUUAUUGGUCAAGCUACAA
rnacentral:misc_RNA from 1 species